UUAAUUAUCUGUAAUUAAUCCUUUUUAUGUCCUUGUUUCGUUUUUUUAUUUUUUACUAUGCUUUUUCUUUCUUGCUAUGGGAAACUGUUGGAAUUCUCCAUUGUUUUUCCAACUACCAUUUAUUAAUCUUUAAUCUUUUGCUUUUUAUUUUCUUGUUUAAGUAAACAGUCUCUUUAUUUUCAAUCUUUUCUUUACUCCAAAAGUUUGUUUUGACUCUGCAGCAGUGCAAGUGGGUGCUUCCUGCUUCAUUUUUGCAGUUUCUUUGUACUUUAAUAUGAAUAUAUAUAUAUUUUUUAUGUUUUUACUGGUUGAAUUGGGUUUAGAUCUGGGACUUCAGUUUCAAGGUUGUUCUUCAUAAAAGUUUUUCAACUUAGUUUCGUGCUCUUUUCGGUUUUGACUUUUUCAGUGAAUUUUAAGGCUAGGGUUGGUUAUGCUUGUAAAAUUUAGAAUAUUUAAGUCCUUUUACUUUUAAUUCUUCUACUAACACUUUUUUUCCCUUUGGCUUUCAGUGAGGAAACUGAGUUUUGUUUCUCUAGAAAUUUUGGUACUGUUUAAUUUUGGACUUUGUCUUUGGUCUUAUUGCUGAGAAAUAUGGAGAAAACAAAGACUAGAAAAUUUUGGUUUAUUUUUUAUGCUGUCUAGUUGAGACAACCUCAGUUCCUUUACCUUUCAUUUCUCUUCUGUUUAAGCUUUUUGCAACUGCAGCUGUUUAUUAUGGUUUCCAAAUCCAAUAAAUUUUUCUUAGUGGCUUUUGAUUUUAUUUUUUUCAUAUAAAAAAUUUGCAAAGCUUAAGGUGUUUGAUAAGUUCUUAAAACCUUAUAAAUUCUUUUAGCUUAAGCCUUUAUAAUAUGCAUGAUUGCAUAUAGAAGUUCCUCCAUUUCCAGCUUGUCCAGCUAGAGAGAGUCCAGAAUCACUGGAUUGUUAGAAUCAUGAGUUUUGGAUGCAAUUCUACUGCUUUAGGGUCAAUGGAAACUGAAUUUAUGAAGUUCAAUGACAUUUAUAUUAUUUUGAGAUUCAAAACAGCUUGGUACUUUCUCAAUUAUUUUACUCUGAGAUUUGACACAUUAUCAAUUGACAACGAGAGAGAGCACGCUUGUUGGCAUUCUUGGAAGGACACGGAUGUGUACAAGCGUGCUCUCUAUCGUUGUCAUAUGAUAUCAAAGCUGUCUUUUCUCAGUUUCUUAGUCUGUUGCUGCAAUAGCUAGCAGGUGAUUCUGUUCAUCCGGAAUUUCAAUUUUGCUGCAAAAUUUUUUAAUGAAAUAUAUAUAGAUAAUAAGAUGGUUGUUAUUAUCAUGUUAUACAGUUGGCAGGAAUUUCAAUUUUGCUGCAAUUUUUUAAUGAGACAUAAAUAAUAAG